GUUUGGCGAAGUUUUAAACUAUUUUAUAUUGCUGGAAUUUUAAAAAAGAGAUGCUUUAUUGGAGUUUAUGAUAAUUGGUGAUCAUUAGUGUAGUAAUCACUAUGUUAGGAGGCUUAGUAGCUAAGUGUUGUCAUUGGGGAACGUUCUAAAUAUGUUUAGGAUGUUUUUAGAGUACGUUAGUGUUGCUGUAAAUUAUUAGAAAUUGAUUGGGGAAUUUUAUUGGUUGUUUUUAGGCGGAGAAUUCUUUGUGGGCGACUUUUGAAUUCGUUAAAGUGGCCUAUCAGUUUGUUUACACAAGUCUCUAAGGAUCAAUAAGCAUUGUCCAUCUGCAGGUUUGAAGAUGUUGCAUCAUUGGGAUCGGGAAUAGAGAGCUUGUAUUUAGUUUUGAUUUGCUAAGUUAACUUGGGUUUGUUUAAUUGGACUUUAAACUUGUUAGUUGAUCUUAUUUUCGUUGAUUGGUUUUGGGAUUAACUAUGUAAUCGAUUAUUUAUAAACCUAAAGUUAGUUUUAUGUUUUCCGCUGCAAAAUUCUGAAUAAGCCGUUACGUUUUCA